rnacentral:tmRNA from 1 species
GGGGGUGUUUUAGAUUCGAUUGUGCGACCGAGAUAGGAUAUAAGCAUACCGAAGGUUCGGCUUCGUUAAAACGAAAACAAAAAUUAACUGAUAAAAAACCAGUUUUAAGUUACGCUGCCUAAGUUAGCGUAUGUUCUACCUUGUUUUCCUGAUAGAUAGGGAUAGGGCAUCAACAAUAUCGGGGAACGGUUUAGUUGUUGAACCCACGGCAACUUUACGGCAUUAAGCGGGCAUGGCUCUAUUAAAGGUUGUCAAUAACCGUAGUAGGGGCGAGAGCAAUUAUUGACUAAGUAUGUAGAAAAUUUUAUUAAAGCGUUCAAGACUCGGGUGCGAUUCCCGACAUCUCCACCA